rnacentral:rRNA from 1 species
AGUGAACGCUGGCGGCAGGCCUAACACAUGCAAGUCGAACGGUAGCACAGAGGAGCUUGCUCCUUGGGUGACGAGUGGCGGACGGGUGAGGAAUACAUCGGAAUCUACCCUGUCGUGGGGGAUAACGUAGGGAAACUUACGCUAAUACCGCAUACGAACUGAGGUUGAAAGCAGGGGACCGCAAGGCCUUGCGCGAUUGGAUGAGCCGAUGUCCGAUUAGCUAGUUGGUAAGGUAAAGGCUUACCAAGGCGACGAUCGGUAGCUGGUCUGAGAGGAUGAUCAGCCACACUGGAACUGAGACACGGUCCAGACUCCUACGGGAGGCAGCAGUGGGGAAUAUUGGACAAUGGGCGCAAGCCUGAUCCAGCCAUGCCGCGUGUGUGAAGAAGGCCUUCGGGUUGUAAAGCACUUUUGUUGGGAAAGAAAAGCGGUCGGUUAAUACCCGGUCGUACUGACGGUACCCAAAGAAUAAGCACCGGCUAACUACGUGCCAGCCGCCGCAGUAA